CACGGGGGGGAGCAAGCGUUGUUCGGAAUCACUGGGCGUAAAGGGCGUGUAGGCGGUCAAGUAAGUGGGAUGUGAAAUCCCCCGGCUUACCCGGGGACCGGCAUCCCAUACUGCUUGGCUUGAGUACGGGAGAGGAUGUGGGAAUUCCUGGUGUAGCGGUGAAAUGCGUAGAUAUAGGAAGGAACACCAGUGGCGAAGGCGACCACCUGGACUGAUACUGACACUGAGGUGCGAAAGCGUGGGGAGCAAACAGG
rnacentral:rRNA from 1 species